AAUAAAUAUACGAAAAUAAUAAAACAUAAAAAGAAGAGCCUUGAAAACAUAAACCCCUAAAUCCCCAAAUGCGUUUUACAAGAGCCAGUGUUUUUCGUUUUCCCUAAAAUCCCAAAUUCGUUUUCCCUAAAAAAUAAAUCAAUAGAUCUCAGAUAUUUCGUUGCUCCUGAUUCUCUCCCUAAUUUCUUCGUAGAUUAUCCAAAUUUAGUCGAAAAUGAUUGAGUUUCUCAACUUGUUUAUGCUUAGUUCGUAACCUCUAGGGUUUUGUUAGAAAAAAGCCCGACUUCUGCUGAGAUUUGUUUGAGAGAAGAACAAUUUUUGCUGAGAUUUGUUUGAGAGGAGACCGAUUUCUGCUUACUGGUGAUUUCAGGUUUGAUAAUGCAUAAUUGCAACUCUAAGAGCCGCUUGGAGGAGCACAUUCUGAUCCUAUUUGGACAUCUCAGCACAUAAAGACCGCCAUUUUACAAGCUAUGGAGGAACUGGGUAAGAUGAGUACAAGAUGAGUACAGAGGAAUUGCUUCAACAUCGUAUGCUCAAGUUCCGUCAUAUUGGCGGAUUUCAAGAAAGCAUCCCCUUUUAUCAAGAAUUUGCAAAGUCCUAAAUAUAUAUGAUGAUAUUUUUCCUGAUGUUAGAGUUUUUUGUAUUGACUGACACUUGUUUGUUAAGUUUCAGACUAUAACCUCUACAACAGUAUCAGUACCAAAUUCGGGUUUUACUGAUUUUCUAAGGAUCAAUAAGCGUUGCCAUCUACAGGUUUGAAGAUGAUGCAUCAUUGGGAUCGGGAUUAGAGAGCUUGUAUUUAUUUUGUUUUUCUAAGUAACUUGGGUUUGUUAAUUUGGACUUUGAACUUGUCGUAUUAUUUAUAUUUCCUAAAUUUCGUUGAUUGAUUUUUGAGAUUAAACCUGUAAUCGAUUAUUUAUAAACCUAAAGUUAGUUUUAUGUUUUCCGCUGCAAAA